rnacentral:misc_RNA from 1 species
GUGGGUGGAGCUGGUGAUGUGGUUAGUGUUUCCAUAAAAGGUUCUGAAACUAACUGGCAUGUAAUGUCAAGGAACUGGGGACAGAACUGGCAGAGCAACUCCUAUCUAAAUGGUCAAGCCCUCUCUUUCAAGGUCAUAACAAGUGAUGGACGCACACUCAUCGCCAACAAUGUUGCUCCCUCCAACUGGGCUUUUGGCCAAACCUACACUGGAGGCCAGUUCUAAUAAUAAGCUAACCAAAAUCACCCUUGUUCCAGACAGUCUAACAGAAAAUUUCUUCCUAGUCCUAUUAUAUAUAUACAAGUUUAUUUUUUAUAUAUGGUGUUUCAAUGGGGAAUUCUUUUUUAAAAAAUGACCCCAUAGUUAUAUAUGUAUGAGUUUGUGUCUGACUUGUAGCUUCAGGUUAAGUGUACAAGGCAUCUGCUAAGUGGUAAACAGGUGGCUUUUUUCUGAAAGAGACGUCAAAGAGCAAGUUUUUCCCUUUGCAUUGGCAUUGGUUGAGGUAUAACAAGUUGUUGUAUUAUGUUCUAAAAU